rnacentral:rRNA from 1 species
CGUUUAGUAUUUGGUCGUAGACCCGAAACCAGGUGAUCUACCCUUGGUCAGGUUGAAGUUCAGGUAACACUGAAUGGAGGACCGAACCGACUUACGUUGAAAAGUGAGCGGAUGAACUGAGGGUAGCGGAGAAAUUCCAAUCGAACCUGGAGAUAGCUGGUUCUCUCCGAAAUAGCUUUAGGGCUAGCCUCAAGUGAUGAUUAUUGGAGGUAGAGCACUGUUUGGACGAGGGGCCCCUCUCGGGUUACCGAAUUCAGACAAACUCCGAAUGCCAAUUAAUUUAACUUGGGAGUCAGAACAUGGGUGAUAAGGUCCGUGUUCGAAAGGGAAACAGCCCAGACCACCAGCUAAGGUCCCAAAAUAUAUGUUAAGUGGAAAAGGAUGUGGCGUUGCCCAGACAACUAGGAUGUUGGCUUAGAAGCAGCCAUCAUUUAAAGAGUGCGUAAUAGCUCACUAGUCGAGUGACACUGCGCCGAAAAUGUACCGGGGCUAAACAUAUUACCGAAGCUGUGGAUUGUCCUUUGGACAAUGGUAGGAGAGCGUUCUAAGGGCGUUGAAGCAUGAUCGUAAGGACAUGUGGAGCGCUUAGAAGUGAGAAUGCCGGUGUGAGUAGCGAAAGACGGGUGAGAAUCCCGUCCACCGAUUGACUAAGGUUUCCAGAGGAAGGCUCGUCCGCUCUGGGUUAGUCGGGUCCUAAGCUGAGGCCGACAGGCGUAGGCGAUGGAUAACAGGUUGAUAUUCCUGUACCACCUAUAAUCGUUUUA